CAGUUUUGGCGGAGCCAUCCUUGGGAUACCACCCUUGUAGUACUGGGACUCUAACCAUAGGCCAUGAAUCUGGUCUUGGGACACUGUCAGGUGGGCAGUUUGACUGGGGCGGUCGCCUCCCAAAAGGUAACGGAGGCGCUCAAAGGUUCUCUCAGUACGGUCGGAAAUCGUACGUAGAGUGUAAAGGCAAAAGAGAGCUUGAUUGCAAGACAUACAGGUCGAGCAAGGAUGAAAAUCGGACUUAGUGAUCCGGUGGUUCUGCGUGGAAGGGCCAUCGCUCAACGGAUAAAAGCUACCCUGGGGAUAACAGGCUUAUCUCCCCCAAGAGUCCACAUCGACGGGGAGGUUUGGCACCUCGAUGUCGGCUCAUCACAUCCUGGGGCUGUAGUAGGUCCCAAGGGUUGGGCUGUUCGCCCAUUAAAGUGGUACGCGAGCUGGGUUCAGAACGGCGUGAGACAGUUCGGUCCCUAUCCGUCGCAGGCGUAGGAAAUUUGAGAAGACCUGUCCUUAGUACGAGAGGACCGGGAUGGACGUACCUCUGGUGUACCAGUUGU
rnacentral:rRNA from 1 species